UGGGGAAUUUUGGACAAUGGGCGAAAGCCUGAUCCAGCAAUGCCGCGUGUGUGAAGAAGGCCUUCGGGUUGUAAAGCACUUUUGUCCGGAAAGAAAUCCUUGGCUCUAAUACAGUCGGGGGAUGACGGUACCGGAAGAAUAAGCACCGGCUAACUACGUGCCAGCAGCCGCGGUAAUACGUAGGGUGCAAGCGUUAAUCGGAAUUACUGGGCGUAAAGCGUGCGCAGGCGGUUUGCUAAGACCGAUGUGAAAUCCCCGGGCUCAACCUGGGAACUGCAUUGGUGACUGGCAGGCUAGAGUAUGGCAGAGGGGGGUAGAAUUCCACGUGUAGCAGUGAAAUGCGUAGAGAUGUGGAGGAAUACCGAUGGCGAAGGCAGCCCCCUGGGCCAAUACUGACGCUCAUGCACGAAAGCGUGGGGAGCAAACAGGAUUAGAUACCCUGGUAGUCCACGCCCUAAACGAUGUCAACUAGUUGUUGGGGAUUCAUUUCCUUAGUAACGUAGCUAACGCGUGAAGUUGACCGCCUGGGGAGUACGGUCGCAAGGUUAAAA
rnacentral:rRNA from 1 species